rnacentral:rRNA from 1 species
AUGGCGAGCGGGGUGGAUAGCAUCAGCGCCCUCCCGGACGACGUCCUCCACAGCGUACUCCGUUUACUUCCGGCUGAAGAGGUGGUGCGGACGUGCGUUCUCGCCCGGCGCUGGCGCGGCGUCUGGAGGUCCAUGCCCUCCCUCCGCUUCAACGGCGCCGAGGGGUGGGGCAGUGCCGACAGAUUCGCCCAGUUCGUGGACCACCUCCUCCACCUCAGAUUCGGGGGCGACGGGGGCGCAAGGCCGCCUCUGGAUUCCUGUGAAUUCGACUUCGAUGCCGACGGGUUCAUGCAAUUGCCGGCUAACGAGCGGCACGCGAGCCACUGGAUCUGGCAAGCCGUGCCCCAUGUCCGGGUGCUCCGGCUUCAUGUCGUCGAGUUUGAGCAGGAACCCUCACCCCUAUCUGAUCUGCGUCUCGUUUCCCAGCACCUCACGAGAUUAGAUCUUGUUGGUGUAGCUGUCAACGACAGCGUUAUGGAUUUUUCAGGCUGUCCGGCGUUGGUGGAACUGAGUAUGGAGGUUUGCGAUGUUUUCGCCAACCAGCUGUUGUCUCCAUCCUUGAAGCACCUGCGCAUUGCCCGCUGCUUUACUGCCGAGGAUACUCGCAUUCUUAUUUCUCUACCAAGUCUCGUUUCGCUCGAGUUGAUUGUAUGCCGCCAAGGAAGGAGCCCAUUGCUCGGAAGCAUGCCGCUAUUAGCAAGAGCUGUUGUUGUACUUAAGAAUGAUUGUGCUGAUCGGUGCUUUAAGGGUCGAUUUAAUGAUUGUGGUGAUACAUGUUAUGGUUGUCGUUAUUAUUAUGGAGAUCCUGAAUUUGGACCUACUUAUGACCGCAACGACAGCAUAUUUCUCAAAGGUUUGUCCGAGGCUACGGACUUGGAGCUGUCUGCUGAUUCUGAUGUGAUUCUUUUUGACAGGGAUUUGAAGCGGUGCCCUACAUUUACCAAGUUAAAAACUUUGUUACUCAAUGACUGGUGCUUGGCUGCUGGCCACAAUGCACUAAUCUGUUUUCUCCAGCACUCACCAAUUUUGGAGAAGCUUACACUUCAACUUUCUAAGGGACCUUCAUAUGUAAGUGAAACACAAGGAAUAUACAAACCAUUGGGACAGUCAGUUGCAUCCCAUUGUCUUAAGAUAGUUGAAAUCAAAUGUGCAAAUGUUGAUAGUAAGGUUCACAGACUUUUGAAGAUAUUGACUACCUAUGGCAUACGCCUUGAGCAAAUUAGGGUCAAACAAACUAGCAGAAUUUCUGGAUCUGAAUGCUUCAACUUUGUUUGCACUGAUUUCAGCUAA